GGAUACCUUCACCACCUAAUAGCUGGUAAGCACUUGUUUCUUUGGGAUUGUCUGACGGGUGUGUUAUUCACUUUGCGAGUGACUUAACUGUUGGGUAGGGUAAAUUUACUGAUUCCCAACAACUUCUACUACUGCUAUAACUUCUACUACUAUUACUGGGGGCUUCGUGGUGCAGUGGUUAGCAUACUCGGCUCACAACCGAGAGAGCCCGGGUUCGAUUCCCGGGCGGAGUGGAAAAAUUUGGGCGGCUUUUCCGAUACCCUACGCCCCUGUCCACCCAGCAGUGAAUGGGUACCAGGUAUUAAUCGGGGGUUGUGUCCCGUCUCCUGGGAUCUGUUCCCUUCUCCUAGAAUUCCUUCCCCUCCUGUCUCUCUCCGGCAUAUGACCACAGAUGUUGCGCAAACUAAACAUUCCAAUACUACUAAUACUGCUACUACUACAACUACUACAGCCACUCCCACUGGCACAUAGACGCUGUGGACCCGUCGGAGGGCAUGAUAAAGCAGCGGGAGACUGGCAUCUAUACCAAAGACUUCCUGGAGUUUAUCGGCAGCGGACACUCCACCGUACCCAAAGACACAUACGACCUGGUGGUCAUCUCGGGCGGUAUGGGCGAAGGUCACAUCCCACUCAGUGGCCUCGACGACCUGGUGCGCGUCGCAAAGAACGGAGGCUUCGUGAUCAUCGUGAUGCGCCAUGAGUACCUACAGACCGUGCCUUCCUACAAGGACAAGCUGGAGCCUUACAUGGACCAGCUGGAGGCGGACGGGAAGUGGAAGAAGGUAGGGAGCACCGUUGCCAGAUUAUCGUACUCAGAGCAUAGUAUUUACCGUUUUUUGACACCUAACUAUUGCCAAGAAACAUCAGGAAUUCACUAUUUUAACGACAGAUAUAAAUGAAUCUAGUUAUUGAGCCCCAGGAGACAGUUUUGGGGUCGGAAGUUGGUAAAUAUAUAAGAGGCUGAGUACAACUA